AGGCGAUACAGGAAGGGCGCACUCACUAAACUUCCUCCUUCCUUUCUAUUCUCAGCGCCUGCCAGGCAGGACUACUGAGCAAGGCCUUAGAAAACCAGAGAGAUUAGAGCGAAUGGGGAAAUGGAGAGAGAACCUGAAAGAGCACCAAGCUCGAGGACCUGUUGCUCCCCAAGAAUAACACCUUCCGGAACUAAACAGAAAACUAGGCGUCUGGGAACCCUGAAAUCCUUGGAGGAGUAGCAUCAUCAUGACCCUCUGUGUUCCUUUUGGCAAAGGACUUGCUUCCAUUGUUUGUUUGUUCAAUUGUCUGUUUGCUAAAUAAAUAAAACCCUUUUCAUAUAUCUUUAAAAUUA